UUAUAUACCUGGCAGGGGAGCUACCACGAUCAUAAAGGUGGUUGUUCAUUGUGCUUCAGAUAUACUGACUGCUGUGAUUUCCCCACAUGUGGGAAACCCAACUGCAUAAUUUGUGGUAAUGGGGGGGACUGUGUUUGUAAAAAAAAUCACCCCCA
rnacentral:snRNA from 1 species